AAAAAGGGGGGGUUAACCCUAGCUGGACCAGGCACACACACCACUUAAUUAAGCUGAAGUGGUCUGGGUGCCUAUAGUGGUCCUUUAAAUUUUUGUUUACAGUCUGUAUAAGAGAAACAAAUGUGCAUUACCAGUCAAUUAUGUACAUCUGGAUGGUGCCUGCGAAUAAUGUCUUUCAGUCAUAGGGUGGCUGUUGAGUUGGAAGAGUUGUAUCAUAAUUACACUCUUAUCAAUGGUAGGGCCUAGAGAAACCUGAAAAUAUAAUUUUCAUUUUUGAGCGGAAUUGGACAGCCUGGAAAAUAUGGAGUUUUCCCCCUUCAAAUUUCUGACCGUACUUCUCAUUGCG